UGGGGAGUACGGCCGCAAGGUUAAAACUCAAAUGAAUUGACGGGGGCCCGCACAAGCGGUGGAGCAUGUGGUUUAAUUCGAUGCAACGCGAAGAACCUUACNUACACUUGACAUACAGAGAACUUACCAGAGAUGGUUUGGUGCCUUCGGGAACUCUGAUACAGGUGCUGCAUGGCUGUCGUCAGCUCGUGUUGUGAGAUGUUAGGUUAAGUCCCGCAACGAGCGCAACCCCUAUCCUUAGUUGCUAGCAGGUAAUGCUGAGAACUCUAAGGAGACUGCCGGUGAUAAACCGGAGGAAGGUGGGGACGACGUCAAGUCAUCAUGGCCCUUACGUGUAGGGCUACACACGUGCUACAAUGGCGUAUACAGAGUGCUGCGAACUCGCGAGAGUAAGCGAAUCACUUAAAGUGCGUCGUAGUCCGGAUUGGAGUCUGCAACUCGACUCCAUGAAGUCGGAAUCGCUAGUAAUCGCGUAUCAGAAUGACGCGGUGAAUACGUUCCCGGGCCUUGUACACACCGCCCGUCACACCAUGGGAGUGGGUUGCUCCAGAAGUAGAUAGUCUAACCCUCGGGAGGACGUUUACCACGGAGUGAUUCAUGACUGGGGUGAAGUCGUAACAAGGUAACC
rnacentral:rRNA from 1 species